UUGAACUACUGCAGGAAUGAACGAGGUUAGCAAGUAUCCGCAUUGAGUGACCCUGCUAAUAUAUGUUGGAAAACAAAAUGCAGAAGCUGAACAGCUCGCAAAUUUGUGGAAGACUAGAAAACAGGGGUACACUAUAUUGCAGCACUAUCGACCACAUUUAGCGAUGAUCCAAAUGACGUAAUCCAAUCAAUCGACCUCCGACAACAAACUAAAAAUUAAACCACCCGUUAUGCAGUGAAUAAAACUGAAAGUAUCAAAAUUGUGUCACCACCAUACAACCUGAGAAGCUACGAGAACUACCACAUAUACAUGUAAAGUGUGGAGCAACCCGGAGGAGAGUUAAGCAGAGACAUCUGAGUAACUUCUCCAUUACUCAGCAACGUUGGUGAGUUUGCAUGUGUUUAGGUUACGGGUAUUUCCCUGGGACUCCUUUGUCAUGUGGCGUGGCGGUAAAAAUUGUUAAACAAAUCUUCGAUUUCUUAGCUGCAUGGAUAGGCUCAUUCGCGAUCUCAACGGUGCUU